GUGAGGAAUAUUGGUCAAUGGACGAGAGUCUGAACCAGCCAAGUAGCGUGAAGGAUGACUGCCCUAUGGGUUGUAAACUUCUUUUAUAUGGGAAUAAAACGUUCCACGUGUGGGAUUUUGUAUGUACCAUAUGAAUAAGGAUCGGCUAACUCCGUGCCAGCAGCCGCGGUAAUACGGAGGAUCCGAGCGUUAUCCGGAUUUAUUGGGUUUAAAGGGAGCGUAGGUGGAUUGUUAAGUCAGUUGUGAAAGUUUGCGGCUCAACCGUAAAAUUGCAGUUGAAACUGGCAGUCUUGAGUACAGUAGAGGUGGGCGGAAUUCGUGGUGUAGCGGUGAAAUGCUUAGAUAUCACGAAGAACUCCGAUUGCGAAGGCAGCUCACUGGACUGCAACUGACACUGAGGCUCGAAAGUGUGGGUAUCAAACAGG
rnacentral:rRNA from 1 species